AGCGAUAUGAUGAAAUUAAUUGAGCUGAAUUUCUUUCUUGUUGAAUUCAUAUAUACCUUCAAAGUUCUCUGAUCGCU
rfam:Beta vulgaris subsp. vulgaris chromosome 4, whole genome shotgun sequence.